AGUGAACGCUGGCGGUAGGCCUAACACAUGCAAGUCGAACGGCGGCACAGUAAGAGCUUGCUCUUACGGGUGGCGAGUGGCGGACGGGUGAGGAAUACAUCGGAAUCUACUUUUUCGUGGGGGAUAACGUAGGGAAACUUACGCUAAUACCGCAUACGACCUACGGGUGAAAGCAGGGGAUCUUCGGACCUUGCGCGAUUGAAUGAGCCGAUGUCGGAUUAGCUAGUUGGCGGGGUAAAGGCCCACCAAGGCGACGAUCCGUAGCUGGUCUGAGAGGAUGAUCAGCCACACUGGAACUGAGACACGGUCCAGACUCCCACGGGAGGCAGCAGUGGGGAAUAUUGGACAAUGGGCGCAAGCCUGAUCCAGCCAUACCGCGUGGGUGAAGAAGGCCUUCGGGUUGUAAAGCCCUUUUGUUGGGAAAGAAAAGCAGCAGGUUAAUACCCCGCUGUUCUGACGGUACCCAAAGAAUAAGCACCGGCUAACUUCGUG
rnacentral:rRNA from 1 species